rnacentral:sRNA from 1 species
UAGAGGGCCAAGAGACUGAAGUCCUCCAUUUUUUCACAGAACAGGUAGAACAUGGACAACAGCAAUUCAGCUUUUCCUCACACUGCCCUGCCAAUGUGCCUCGACCCUGACCUGGGAGGCCCACCUCUUGGGUGAGAGGGUGGCUCAUUCAUUCAGUCCUUGGCCAUUCUUCUGAAACUGCC